ensembl:lncRNA
AGCCAGACCCGCAGAGAGCCUGCAUCUCGAAGUAGCUCUACUAUAUUUCUCUCACACACGUUAAGGUGCGAACACACCAAGCGCGUACCUCGCGUAUAGACGCGUAUAAAAUCGGCAAUUUUUCCAUAGGGAACCAUUGGUUUACGCGCGUAUGAGGUGUGUACACGUGUAUCAUGCGUACCAAGCAACAUUUUACUCGCGUAUGGGGCGUAUGAGGCGCGUAUAUAUACACGUGCGUACGCGAGGAGUUCAAAAAAUUGAACUUUUUACGCUCAUACGUGUGAUACUUAGCCGCAAUAGCCAAUCAGCGUGGAGCUUGACCCGACGUCACUGGCAGAGAGUAGUGACCCUUGCACAGAAGCAUACGGCCGACAUCUUUCUUUAUUCUGGGUGGAAAUAGUAACAUAGUUACGCCAUUAAAUGCGUUUAUGGAAACAUUUUUAGCGAGAAAUGUGCAUUUUACUUUCAUAAUGUUCACUCGGUGAAUGUGAAGGAUGUUUGGUUUGAUAGUUAUGACGAAGAGUGAACGCUCCGUUCACUUGCAUGGACAGAGUCUCUGGUUGCUAAGCAACCUCAACGUCUUGGCGGACUAUUUCUCUGCCGAUCAACACUACGAAUGCUGGAAACACACCAGACACACCAUGUGAAGUUAUUUAACCCGAUUAUUGUUAUUUAUAUCCGAGAUUUAUUUAAUCUAACCCGAUCCAAGCUCUAUCAUGCACCCAAACACGGCGGCGUUUGGGUUUCCUUCCUCGGACUCCUAAAUCCAGCGCAGCCACAGGCGCGUAGCUGCCUAUCAUACCAAAAUGACCAACGAAGGCGAAGGACAACUCUGGGGUGGUGACUGGUCUGUCUAGUUACUGGACCAGAUGAAAUGAGACGGAGAGCAGGUUAUUUUGCCCAACAACUGCGUGUGCAGUACUGCACAACAUUUGCGUUGGUGUGGGCGAUGACCUCCCAGUGGAGGAUGGGGCCCUGGAGGGAGAUGACCCUCCUCUUGAAGGAGAAUGUGGCACGGAGUCACAGAGUGGAGCUCCUUGGCGUGCGGCACUGGCCAAUGCCAUUACCCCUCUUGAAGUGGCUCCACAGGACCACGACUACUUUGUUCUGCCUGUGACCGGACCAAGACAUACAUUUUAACAUACAUUUUUUUUAUAUUAUUUAAUCACUUUUAUCCAUUAUGAAUGUGUUUUUUGUUGUGGUUGAUCGAAUCCUCUUUAUUUAAAAAAAUCAAUUACAUUUUUGUAAAACUAAGUGAAAUUGUCUGAGAACUUAAUUUAUGCAUCACAUUUACAGUAUGGUUGAUUAUUAAUUAUGCAGGGGGAAAAAAGACAAAGAAAGUGUUGAUAAACAUGUAUUUAUUUUUAUAGAUAACUGAUUGGAUCUCAUUCAUACAUACAU